CUAUAAACCAUUUCAUCUCAUUGAAUUGAUCAUCAUGCGUGGAGUCCUCUGGCACUGUCAAACUGUUUUUGAAAAGUUUAACACUAAAUAACGGUCACUGGCCACCCACAGUCUGACUCCCACUAGAGAUGUUACAAAGCAAUAUUACACACUUACUUUUAGCUAUACCGAGUCAUAACCACAAUGGGUGGGUGCUGUGAUAAGCUGAAAGAUUAGCUGACACUUUUGGCCAAUC